GCGGGAUUAGUAUAGUAGCAGUACGCGACCUUGCCAAGGUCGAGGCGCCAGUGCAAUCCUGGUAUCCCGCU
rnacentral:tRNA from 2 species